ACUCCUACGGGAGGCAGCAGUGGGGAAUCUUGGACAAUGGGCGCAAGCCUGAUCCAGCCAUGCCGCGUGAGCGAUGAAGGCCUUAGGGUCGUAAAACUCUUUCGCCAGGGAUGAUAAUGACAGUACCUGGUAAAGAAACCCCGGCUAACUCCGUGCCAGCAGCCGCGGUAAUACGGAGGGGUUAGCGUUGUUCGGAAUUACUGGGGCGUAAAGCGCGCGUAGGCGGACUAGUUAGUCAGAGGUGAAAUCCCGGGGCUCAACCCCGGAACUGCCUUUGAUACUGCUAGUCUUGAGUUCGAGAGAGGUGAGUGGAAUUCCGAGUGUAGAGGUGAAAUUCGUAGAUAUUCGGAGGAACACCAGUGGCGAAGGCGGCUCACUGGCUCGAUACUGACGCUGAGGUGCGAAAGUGUGGGGAGCAAACAGGAUUAGAUACCCUGGUAGGAUAGCCG
rnacentral:rRNA from 1 species